GCCCGGUUAGCUCAAUCGGUAGAGGCAAGUUCAUCCACUUCCGACUCCAUUCACACCGACAUCGUGUACUAACCUCUUCUCCAGCGUGAGACUCUUAAUAGAGAUUCAUCUCAAGGUUGCGGGUUCGACCCCCGCAUCGGGCU